GACGAACGCUGGCGGCGUGCCUAAUACAUGCAAGUCGAACGAGAGCAACCGGUGCUUGCACUGGUCAAUCUAGUGGCGAACGGGUGAGUAACACGUGGGUAACCUGCCCAUCAGAGGGGGAUAACAUCCGGAAACGGAUGCUAAAACCGCAUAGGUCUUCGAACCGCAUGGUUUGAAGAGGAAAAGAGGCGCAAGCUUCUGCUGAUGGAUGGACCCGCGGUGCAUUAGCUGGUUGGUGAGGUAACGGCUCACCAAGGCCGUGAUGCAUAGCCGACCUGAGAGGGUGAUCGGCCACAUUGGGACUGAGACACGGCCCAAACUCCUACGGGAGGCAGCAGUAGGGAAUCUUCCGCAAUGGACGCAAGUCUGACGGAGCAACGCCGCGUGAGUGAAGAAGGUGUUCGGAUCGUAAAACUCUGUUGUUAGAGAAGAACAAGUGCUAGAGUAACUGUUAGCGCCUUGACGGUAUCUAACCAGAAAGCCACGGCUAACUACGUG
rnacentral:rRNA from 1 species